GGCUGCUUCUCUCUGUUUCCUCUCAGUGUCAGUGAAUUCCCUUUGGCUUGUUGGACUGUUGCUCAGACUAAAGAAGCAGUUAGAAAACAUGACUGUGAACUCUGGGAGCUACUGAUGGCCUUUUCUCAUCACUGUCACACAUUGCAAACUAAUCAAUACAUGGAUCAAUAGUGGUUUGUUAUUGGCCAGAGGAGAUGCUGCUUGUUCUCAUUGGUCAGUGUUGAGGAAGAAUGAGAGCAGAAAGCUGCCAUCAGCUGCUCUACUUCUACUAUCAGUCCACUAGAUGGCCUCAUGGAGCUGCAUUUAUCUGACAGCUUUACUUCCUGCUUACUUUUCAAACAUGGGAUCAGUUUAUAAAAUAGAAUUCAUUAUUUUACAUUCAAGCAGCCAAAAGUAUUUGAAGUAGUUCAUAUUGGCUCCACCUGCAGCAACUCCAACAUUAAAGUAGUGAUUACAUGUUAAUGCAUCAAUAAUAAUCAUCCACUAAUAUAAUAAUACAACACUGACAGAGGCCAUUCUGUACACUGACUACUUUCACUUUACAUACUUCAACUACAUUGAUAAGGUGAGCUCAUAAAGACAGACAGAAAUCAUACAGUGAGUACUCUGAGUACUGUCAGUGAGUACUCUGAUUACUUUGAUCAGUGACACACUGACAGUAAGAUGGAGGAAACUCUUCCUCCAUGUUGGUUCUCAGUUGACUGUUAGUAGAGUUUUCUGCUCUUUCUACUGAACUAAACUAACAAGAUGAAGAGGAGUCAAACAGUGAAAAGUGUCUCUUACUAACCUUCACAUGGACAGAAGAAGAAGCUGCGACACGACGAGCUCACAAAGUGAAAGUAAACUGUGGACAGGGAGUGGCUGUGACGUCACGGUUGUCAGGGCAACAGCAGGUGUGGGGAGUGGAGUGUCUCCAGAGAGAGACUGGGAGCUUCAACUACAUUGUGCUGAUAAUACUUCUUCUACAGGAGGACGGACUGGUCCCUGAGGCCUCUGGUUACUGGUUGAGGGUCAGUCCCCAUACUGGGGUCAGAGGCCCGACCCUCCACCACAGGGAGCUUUAAACCUGGGAUAAAUCUCUGUUUUCAACCCCAGAGGAGAAGGCC
rnacentral:lncRNA from 15 species